AAAGACCUGUGACAAACCAAAAAGGAGGCUUUGCUUUUGACUUGCAUCAUGUUUCAUUAGUGACAGGUACGCCCCAAGCUUACACGAGUUUGGGCACUUCACCAUCCCAACGGUCUGCGAUCCUGCAACCCUUCAGUGGUUUAUUUUUGCUAAAGCACAGGAAGCAAGAGAGAAUCUGAAAAGAAAGGAGGAGAUGAUGAUUACAGAGAAAGAGCUAAUUGAGACUUCCACUGAAAGGUUCUCCCUGGACCGGCUGUAUAAGGAGCCCAGCGUUUCCAGCGCGCAGAUGAUAGAGUGCUGCAAGCGGCUGCUGGAGGAGUCGCUGCCCUACCUGCGGGGCAUGCACCUCUGCAUUUCACACUUCUACUCGGUGCUGCAGGACGGAGAUCUCUGUAUCCCUUGGAACUGGAAAAACUGAGGGCCUGUCUGACAAUCAGAUGACUGGUUUAUUUGACGUAAGAGACUCUAGGUAGGAGUGUUUCUCAGAGUAAGUUAUUGCAACGCGUAUUUUGGUGAAGGUCUUCAGCCCACAGCUUUUAACUGCUGCCAGAGGGGCCCGAGGCACUUUGCACAGUGCACAGCACUGCCGGGGCUGGGAAAGGCCACCUGUACGCUCCCCACACGACUGUAGGGCUGCCAGUGGCGGUUGUGAAGCUGCACUUUUGUAGUGAAUUAUGAACAGUUAUUAAAUUGCUGGUUGCAAAAA